rnacentral:rRNA from 1 species
UACGUAGGGCGCGAGCGUUGUCCGGAAUUAUUGGGCGUAAAGAGCUCGUAGGCGGCCAGUUGCGUCCGCUGUGAAAUCCCGGGGCUCAACCCCGGGCUUGCAGUGGAUACGGGCUGGCUGGAGGCAGGCAGGGGAGAACGGAAUUCCUGGUGUAGCGGUGAAAUGCGCAGAUAUCAGGAGGAACACCCGUGGCGAAAGCGGCUCUCUGGGACGGUACUGACGCUGAGACGCGAAAGCGUGGGGAGCAAACAGG